ensembl:lncRNA
CGCUUCUUCAAAUUAAAACCUCGCAGUCUUCCUAAAACAAAGCGGACCUACAAUUCAACAAAGUUCCUCUUGUGCGUAAAAGCUCUCCAAAUGCGUAGAAACGCGCAUUCAUAAAUACUUGCUAGUUUAUUCACAGGCCAUAUAAACACCACUGACACGUAGUUUACAUAUAAAUAUAUAUAUUUUAAUCAAAAUUAAUAACCAACGUUAUAGAUUGUAAAAGAUAUUAACAGCUAUCGACAUUUCCUCUUGAGUCACCGGCAAACGUGUAGGCAGUGAAACUGGAAAGACAAUACAAGGACACACCAGGACUCAACAGCCCUGUAGGACUGGUUUCACAUCUCUCCACACAAUACAGCCUUUAAAAAUCUGAAACAGGGCUUUAAAAAAAAUACACAUGUAUGAAUUAAACACUGCAACCUAUUUAAAAACAAGAUUAAGGGUAUAAAAAGCUACAAAUUCAGGACAUUAAAUGUAUUUUUAUCACUUCAUAAUUUCCCUGAGAGACCGUUCAACCUUUAACUAUUUGCAUACAGUUUCUGUAGUAACACUGAUUUUGAAAGCUUUGGUAAAUACAAGCCAAGUCAAGCCGACCACAUGGCUGGCUGGUGUCGAGGGCAGGCUUUGGGUGGAGUUUCACUGGCCUGUUGGAGAAAAAAUAAUAAAGCUGUUAUGUCUUAACACACCCAAACUAAAAGUGGGAGCAGUUCAACUGAACAUUACACCCUUGAUGCCACACCCCAUGAAUACAACUGGUGAGAGAAGAGGUUGAGAGGCCCAGCAUCAUGAAACUCCUCUACCUUGUAUGUUGGGGUAGUUGUGUGGAGGUGGGAUGCCUUAUGAGAGUAAAGGGGAUCAGUGGUCCCACAGCUCAUAGCAGGGACACUGUUACUGUGUAUGGAGCAGUGGAGCCUCGAGCUGCAGUGCUCUGAACUGAUGACCUGCCUGGACUCAUUUAACAGCUGCUGCAGAGAACAGCUGGACAGAGGAUCAUCACCCUGGUGAGAGGAGGAGAAGAGGCUUUAAGUGAUCAACCGUUAGCUAAAGGAACAUUUCGGGAAAUACACUUACUUGGGAGUAAAUUAAGCUACAACCAGCAGCUCAUUAGCUUAUCUUAUCAGGUCGAAAAGGCUAGCCUGGCUCUAUUCAAAGGAGCAGGUAGUCGGAUUUUGGCUAGCCGUUUUCCUGUUUCUCGUCUUUAUGCUAAGCUAAUUGGAAGAUGGCUGUAGCUUUGUAUUUAAAGGACAGACAGUGGGAUCUUCUUAUUGAACGCUUUGAAAUAAAGUGAAUACAUGUCAAACUAUUGCUUUAAAAUGUGGACCAUUACAUGUUCCUAUGUUGAGAUAAAGAGUGUAAUCAUUAGUACUUUAUCUAGACUAAAUCACUUGUCUCUGAUGUUUUCAUUUACUGUUCUCAAUAUGAGGCACCGUUUCUGUCUUACAUCAAUCGAGAGCGCUGAGAAGUCUCCCGGGUCACCGUUGACCGUGACUUGCUGAUUGGCUGCAGGUGGAGCGGCAGCGUCAUGUAAACGUCUGGAGUUCUUCACUCUGGGUGACGGAGGUGACCAGCUGUCCAGACAGACGCAUCUUAACUCCUCCUGACUGAGACAAACAAAUCAUUCAACUCCAGUUCUUGGAGAUCUUACAAGAUUUAGAUCAAUACUGCUCCUCUCUACUAAAAUACAGCUAGAAAUGAGUCUGAUCAAUGUCAUCACUACCUCUUUCUUUCGCGAGAUGCACCUCUAGUGUCUUAGAGCGGACUCCUGCCUCUUCUGUUCAAUUUCUUCACGUACAAAUUGUUAUCCUGGCUGCUCUUUUCUUUCACCGUGCCCACACUGCUCAACAACUCAAACUCAGUAGCUUCUCUACCGCCACAAAAUAUGAAAUGAAAAUAACUACAUCAGGCGUGUUCUAUAUUUAUUUUUUAAAACACUAUUCACCUGCCAGGUAAUCCCUGACUGUUCUUCUCCCGCAGAGUUUCGCGGGUACUUUCCAGGUUCAACUGCAGAAGCUGCAGGUCAUUACGCUGAUUCUCGCACACCUGUAAAUGAAAAACAGAUUUAUCGGAUCAAAGUGAACACGAUGUAGCGAAUACAAAGAGAUACAGAGCUUUAAUUGCUCUUUUAUAGUUUCUAUUUUUACGUAUAUUUUAGUUUUAAAGACCUCUAAUGAUUUAUUUGUACUUAUUUCUGUCCUUGUGUUGCUGCAACAACAUCAUUUCCCG